UGAACGCUAGCGGCAGGCCUAACACAUGCGAGUCGAGGGGUAACAGGAAGUGCUUGCACUUCGCUGACGACCGGCGCACGGGUGGGUACCGCGUAUACAAUCUGCCUCAUACUAGGGGAUAGCCCGAAGAAUUUGGAUUAAUACCCUAUAGUAUCUUUUUAAGGCAUCUUAUUAAGAUUAAAGGUUACGGUAUGAGAUGAGUAUGCGUUCUAUUAGCUGGUAGGUGUGGUAACGGCACACCUAGGCUACGAUAGAUAGGGGCCCUGAGAGGGGGAUCCCCCACACUGGUACUGAGACACGGACCAGACUCC
rnacentral:rRNA from 1 species